rnacentral:lncRNA from 1 species
AAAGAACAGCUUAUGAGGAUUUAAUUAGAGAGGAAGGGAACAAAGUUAGGUGAGAAACAGUGAGGGUUUAAACUAGUGACAUUGGUAAAGAAGGAAGAUGGACAGAUUCAGUGACAUUUAAAUAUACCUGAGACAGAAAAUUUUCGUUGAUUCAUUUUGAAAUAUGAAAGAUUUAAGGAUGACCCAGGGUUACUUAGCAUGAAGAAAUUGAUGGACAAUGAUCCAAUUUACUGAAGGGUGAGAAAAAGUAGGUUUCUUUUUUGUGGAAGUGGGGAAAUGUGGGCUUGUGUUGUGAGGAAUUAUGAGUUUAGAUUCAAAUAUACUAAUUUUUUUUUGUUGGUUCCUAUUUUUCAAUGCCUUUUCAUGAACUAUCAUUCACAUGUAUUUCUCAAAAUUUAAAACUACUUUUAAUAGGAGUCUUUGUACUAAUCCCUUAUUCUUAAACCCAAUUUAUCUCUUGUUCCUCAAAACUUGCACCCUCUUAGACAUUCAACUUACCUAAUUAUCCUCCUCUUCCCAUAUGUUAAUUGUUGGCUGUUUUCACGGCUUUGAGUUAACUUUGUGCUUGACAUCAAAGCACACAACGUAGCUGCCUAUUCAAGAGAAGAUUUGCUGGCCGGCUGUGAAGAAAUGAGGUCGGCAGACAGCCUUCAGCUCUCAGCUCCCUUAGUGUAUGCCUCAGCUGCAGAGAGCUACCUGCCUAGAGGACAUGCUCUUCUCAGGAGCAGCCUACUUCUGAUGACUGAGGAAGACAAGGGUAUAAAUGUCCAGUGCUUUCAGUUCAAUAUAAGACAAUGCAGAUAUUUAUUCCAAAUCAAUCCUGCACCAGAAGCUCCAUUUCUGCAUUCGCUUCCAGAAAACACAGCAGCCGUAUGUGAAUUUGGGAGUGGUCCCACGAACCGGUUAUGAGACGAGGUUUUGGAGCUGGAUCACACCUGACACAACUGGCAUUGAAAACCUUAUUACCAAGAGCCUCUGGCACAAGGUAGAAGUCCAGUUGUAAAAACAUUCAUUGCUGAUGAAUUGGGACAGUAGAAGUUGAUGGAAAAACAGAAUUAAGAAGUGUGGUAUAUCUGGCACUUCAAACUUUUUGGGAAAAAAAGAUAACUGCAAAUGCAAAGACAAUGGAAUUGGAUGCUUUUUGCUAAACUGCGCUAAUACUCAACAAAA